UAGGGAAUAUUGCGCAAUGGACGAAAGUCUGACGCAGCAACGCCGCGUGGGUGAUGAAGGUCUUCGGAUUGUAAAACCCUGUCGGUGGGGAAGAACCGUGCAAGCGUAACUGCCUUGCACCUGACGGUACCCACAGAGGAAGUCCCGGCUAACUCCGUGCCAGCAGCCGCGGUAAUACGGAGGGGACAAGCGUUGUUCGGAUUUACUGGGCGUAAAGGGCGCGUAGGCGGGCCUUCAAGUCGGCUGUGAAAUCUCUGAGCUUAACUCAGAGUCUGCACUCGAUACUGUAGGUCUUGAGUACCGGAGAGGAUGAUGGAAUUCCAGGUGUAGCGGUGAAAUGCGUAGAUAUCUGGAAGAACACCAGUAGCGAAGGCGGUCAUCUGGACGGAUACUGACGCUAAAGCGCGAAGGCUUGGGGAGCAAACAGG
rnacentral:rRNA from 1 species